rnacentral:rRNA from 1 species
CGUAGGGGCUAGCGUCAUCCGGAAUUACUGGGCGUAAAGGGUGCGUAGGUGGUUUCUUAAGUCAGAGGUGAAAGGCUACGGCUCAACCGUAGUAAGCCUUUGAAACUGGGAAACUUGAGUGCAGGAGAGGAGAGUGGAAUUCCAUGUGUAGCGGUGAAAUGCGUAGAUAUUAGGAGGAACACCAGUUGCGAAGGCGGCUCUCUGGACUGUAACUGACACUGAGGCACGAAAGCGUGGGGAGCAAACAGGAUUAGAUACCCCGGUAGUCCCUGA